AUUGAACGCUGGCGGCAGGCCUAACACAUGCAAGUCGGACGGUAGCACAGAGAGCUUGCUCUCGGGUGACGAGUGGCGGACGGGUGAGUAAUGUCUGGGGAUCUGCCCGAUAGAGGGGGAUAACCACUGGAAACGGUGGCUAAUACCGCAUAACGUCGCAAGACCAAAGAGGGGGACCUUCGGGCCUCCCACUAUCGGAUGAACCCAGAUGGGAUUAGCUAGUAGGCGGGGUAACGGCCCACCUAGGCGACGAUCCCUAGCUGGUCUGAGAGGAUGACCAGCCACACUGGAACUGAGACACGGUCCAGACUCCUACGGGAGGCAGCAGUGGGGAAUAUUGCACAAUGGGCGCAAGCCUGAUGCGGCCAUGCCGCGUGUAUGAAGAAGGCCUUCGGGUUGUAAAGUACUUUCAGCGGGGAGGAAGGCGAUGUGGUUAAUAACCGCAUUGAUUGACGUUACCCGCAGAAGAAGCACCGGCUAACUCCGUGCCAGCAGCCGCGGUAA
rnacentral:rRNA from 1 species